CCCGCCUGCCCUGUGACAACGUUCUAACGGCCGCGGUAUUUUGACCGUGCAAAGGUAGCGUAAUCACUUGUCUUUUAAAUGAAGACCUGUAUGAAAGGCAUCACGAGAGUUUAACUGUCUCUAUUUUCUAAUCAAUGAAAUUGAUCUAUUCGUGCAGAAGCGAAUAUAAUAACAUUAGACGAGAAGACCCUAUGGAGCUUCAAACACUUAAAUUAAUUAUGUAACCAUACCAUUUUCCCAGGAAAUAAACAAAAUAUACAACACUUCUAAUUUAACUGUUUUUGGUUGGGGUGACCAAGGGGAAAAACAAAUCCCCCUCAUCGAUUGAGUACUAAGUACUUAAAAAUUAGAAUGACAAUUCUAAUUAAUAAAACAUUUACCGAAAAAUGAUCCAGGAUUUAUCCUGAUCAAUGAACCAAGUUACCCUAGGGAUAACAGCGCAAUCCUUUCUCAGAGUCCCUAUCGAAGAGAGGGUUUACGACCUCGAUGUUGGAUCAGGACAUCCUAAUGGUGCAACCGCUAUUAAGGGUUCGUUUGUUCAACGAUUAAUAGUCCUACGUGAUUGA
rnacentral:rRNA from 1 species